CCGGGGUAAAUCUGUUUUGCAAGUCUCCGUUCAGAGAGCGCAGGAAGGCAAACCAUCCGUGCAGUCCCCUCACUGCAGUCAGAGUUUCUCCAGCCGUUACAAGCAUGAAGCCAUAGGCAGAGAGCUGUACUGUUUUUGACAAUUUAAAAACAGCACAAUACUUGUUUCCUGGUGUUGCGGCACAGGCAUUUUUCUUAAAGAUGGCGUCAGAAGAGGCAGCAUCUGCAUCUUUCAUUGUCUGUAUGCCAAGAGGUUAAACUUUGACAGCUGUUCAGAGCCGGACUGAACUUGCUGCACACUUAAGCCACCCACAGCACGGAGGCAUCCCGUCUGGUUUGGCAUCCCCUGUCACAACUGUAAUCCCAGGUUCUCUAUGAGCCCUUGGAGGCAGAGCUGUGCCUCCCACACGGCACUGGAGGCCGCUCUCAUCCUGCAGU